CAACACCUGACUCAGACAGGAGAACACCAGGGCAGUGCACAGCCGGGAUUUCAGUCUCCGCUGUCAGCUCGCAGGUCCACUGGCUCUACUGAGGGCACCUACACUCUGCAGCCAGGCGGCCUGGAUUGAACGCCCUGCCCAGGACCCACACACAGGCACUGCAGCAGCGACAGGAGGAGGGGGCGCUGGGAACAGGAAGGACACCACCGCUUGGCCUCCGGCACCGGAGGGACAACCUGGAGGGCUCCGGGAGCACCGCAAAGGUCCAAGCGGAGCCAAUCCUCACAAGCCCAGGGAAGGGCAACGUGACAGGCCGGCGGGACAGCCCCACCGCCGCGAAGAGGGGCUGCCCAAAAGGCAACAGCCAUAGGAGAUGAGCAGGGGUGCCUGCUGCGUCGGAGAACUCAUCUCCCCAACCCCACCGACGCCACAAGGUAGAGGGCGAGGACAGCGAGGUCGGCCGGAUUCCGCACCCCUGCCUCCAACCACCGCCCAUGGGCGGGGAGGAGAGACUACCGGCCGCAAGCAGAACGCAGAACGAGAAGAGCGGUCCUGUUAGCCAUGAAUGUGUCCCUCAUCUGUACCGCCUCCGGCCCCGCCCGGGAGAACGCGACGUCACCACAUCCAUCACUUGUUCUCUUUCACUCUUCCCGUUCUUUCCUUUUCCCAGUAUAUUUAUAUAGUAAUUAUGUUUAAUUCAGCCACUCCUUGUUUCUUUUUCCGUGACUCAUCUUCUCAUAUGUCAACUUGACUACUUUUCACUUGCUUCGUAGUAUUUGUUCUUCCUCAAGUUAAUACUUGCCUUUGUUUUUGUUUAUGUUCUAGAUAACUCUCAUUAAUUUAACUUUGAUAUCUGUUCCAUUUCUGUGACUCUGUUAAGAAAUUAGAGACUUUGAACUUUCUAUUAAUUUUACUUUCUUGGAAAUGUCCCUCCUGGGCCCUUCUGGCUGCUCCCAUCUGGACUGGAGGCUUCUACCUGUGGGACAGAGUCACCUUCCUAGGAUCUCCCUCCACCACCAUCUGGGGCGGUGCUUUACAUGCAGUGGAGCCACCUGGGGUCCUGACAAAUGCAGACUGAUCAACCUGUCAAGGCUGGGCCUGUGAGCCUUUCUGUCCAGUUUCAUGAGAUGCUGGUUCUGCUGGUUCAUGGAUAAUAGCUGGGGUAGCAAGGAUCUCUCUUUUUGUCUCACAGUUUUCUGCAUCUCUUUUUCAUAGUAAGCACAUGCUAAUAUAUUUUCAAUAAAUUCAUGUGCUCUUUUCCUAAGUUGGUAUCAGAGCUAAUUAUUUUUUUCAUUGCGCCAAAAUCCAUAUUAUAUAAAAUUUGGUAUCGUAACAAUUUUUAAGUAUAGAGUACUAUAAUAUGAACUGUAGCACAUUGUUAUGCAACAGAUCUCUAGAACUUUUCAUCUUGCAAAACUGAAACUCUACGCUGAAAAUCUCCUCAAGAAUCCCCCCAGCCUAACCACUGGCAGCCGCCAUUCUACUUUCAGGUUCUAAGAGUUUAGACGCCGCAUAUAACGAAUUGCGCAGUAUUGGAAUUUCCUUGUGAUUGGCUUAUUACACUUAGCAUUGUUCUCCAGGUUCAUCCAUGUUGCAGCAUGUAACAGAAUUUCCUUCUUUUUAAGGUUGAAUCAUAUUCCAUUGCCUACAUAGACCACAUGUUCUUCAUCUAUUCAUGUGUUGAUGGGUGCUUUGUUUGCUUCCUUGUCUUGGCUAUGCACCUUCCAGGAACGUGAGAAGGAGACAGUUUUCGCUACAGUUGAUUAAGGGAGAGCCCGCUAGGCUGGGCAGGAGGAUUUUUACCGGGAACCUGUGCGAUGAGCUGUGACAUCCUUCUCCCCACCUUCAAUCUCAGCCCCAGCAGGCACCUCCUGGGCGCAGAAGCAGUGCAGCGGCGCCACCUGGCGGUCUGCACUCUUCCUUUCCCAGAUCAAGCACAGCCCUGAAAUCCACCUGUCCCUCCUCUGUGCCUGUGAUUUCUUCAGGGGACACCAGCGUGGGUCAACUUUCUUGUAAAGCAGAACAAGCGUGAGAUUGGACCAUGUUACAGGAGGAAUGGUGUCAUCUCUACCUGUGGAGAGAUCCCUGUCACCGUGUUCAGGGGAAGGACCGAGCCUCACUCCCACGCAGAGAGGAGGCUCUGGUUGUAACUGCUCCAGUGGAGAGAUGAGGACCUCCUCCCUCUACACUGAUGGCCAAAGCCUGCAGACUGGGCCAGGCUUCCCCUCAGCUAUGUCCUGUCAGGUUCAUCCAGGACUCAAGAAAUAAACUGUGGACAUUGUCUCCAGCGACGUGGAGCUGAAUGCACACUCAGUAAUGAGACAGCCUUGCCAGGGGUCCUGGGGCUGCCGGUUGUUCUGGGUGCUCAGUGUCCAGAGAGGAGGAUGGGGAGGAGGCUUUGUGCAGAACAGGAACCGUGGAGCUGGAUGCACACUCAGUAAUGAGACAGCCCUGCCAGGGGUCCUGGGGCUGCCGGUUGUUCUGGGUGCUCAGUGUCCAGAGAGGAGGAUGGGGAGGAGGCUUUGUGCAGAACAGGAACCGUGGAGCUGGAUGCACACUCAGUAAUGAGACAGCCCUGCCAGGGGUCCUGGGGCUGCCGGUUGUUCUGGGUGCUCAGUGUCCAGAGAGGAGGAUGGGGAGGAGGCUUUGUGCAGAACAGGAACCGUGCCCCAUAACUCAUUUUAUUCUGCGUUCGCCUUUUUGUCAUAAAACACAGGUGACAUAAAAGAAAAAAAAUCUUAAAAUGGUGACCUUUAAUCAACAGUAAACACUCUUUAACCAUCA